rnacentral:rRNA from 1 species
UACAGAGGUCUCAAGCGUUGUUCGGAUUCAUUGGGCGUAAAGGGUGCGUAGGUGGCGCGGUAAGUCGGGUGUGAAAUUUCGGAGCUUAACUCCGAAACUGCAUUCGAUACUGCCGUGCUUGAGGACUGGAGAGGAGACUGGAAUUUACGGUGUAGCAGUGAAAUGCGUAGAGAUCGUAAGGAAGACCAGUGGCGAAGGCGGGUCUCUGGGCAACAACUGACGCUGAGGAGCGAAAGCGUGGGGAGCGAACAGG